rnacentral:rRNA from 1 species
GAUGAACGCUGGCGGCGUGCCUAACACAUGCAAGUCGAGCGGUAGAUACUGGAAUGAGAUUUCGGUCGAGUGAAAGUAUUGAGAGCGGCGGACGGGUGAGUAACGCGUAGGCAACCUGCCCCAUACAGAGGGAUAGCCUCGGGAAACCGGGAUUAAAACCUCAUAACGCCAGAGAUUCACAUGGACCUCUGGCCAAAGAUUUAUCGGUAUGGGAUGGGCCUGCGUCUGAUUAGCUAGUUGGUGGGGUAACGGCCUACCAAGGCAACGAUCAGUAGCCGACCUGAGAGGGUAAUCGGCCACAUUGGAACUGAGACACGGUCCAAACUCCUACGGGAGGCAGCAGUGGGGAUUAUUGCACAAUGGGCGAAAGCCUGAUGCAGCAACGCCGCGUGAGCGAUGAAGGCCUUUGGGUCGUAAAGCUCUGUCCUUGGGGAAGAAAAAAAUGACGGUACCCUUGGAGGAAGCCCCGGCUAACUACGUGCCAGCCGCCGCAGUAA